AUCUAAGCACUAGCCGGCUGAGCUUGUCGUUUUUGUUCUCUUUUCCGUUGCACCUUCUUUCGCGGCGGCGGCGGCGUCACCGCCGACUUCGCUGACAGGAGGCCAAACAGGCCAAUCGAGUACACCGAAAAAAACAGAUUGCGACGAUAUUUUGCAUCCAGCCUGCCUGCGCUUUCAGAUCGACAUCACGAGUCCAAUUGGAGUGGCUGCGAGCCAGAGAGGCAGAAAUAGCGAAGAUGGUCGAAAUAGGAAGAGCGUCCAAAGCGAGGGCCGUGUAAAAAAAUAUAUGAAACACAAUGCAACUUUAACUAAAGAUGCAAACUACAAUAUACUCCGAACUCGGCAUUUACGCCCCUAGCAGCCGCUAACUGAAACAAACACAGAUAAUCACACACAUCAGUGAGACCAAACAGCGGUCGCGAGGUAUUUCCGCAGGUGGCGUUACAAAAAUACCGCACAUUUUGGGACUUAACAGCACUGAUGAAAAAAUACCACAUAUAUAUACUAUAAUAAAAG